rnacentral:rRNA from 1 species
AGAGUUUGAUCCUGGCUCAGAACAAACGCUGGCGGCAUGGCUAAGACAUGCAAGUCGAACGGAUUAGCUAAUUGAGUAAUCGAGAAGCUAAUUAGUGGCGAAAGGGCGAGGAAUGAAUAGGUAACGUACCCCGUACUUCGGGAUAGCGUCUGGAUGCUUGCAUCCUUCCGAAAGGGGCGGUAAUACCGGAUAAUAUCAUGUGUCAUAAGAUAUAUGUUCAAAGAUUUAUCGGUAUGGGAGCGGCCUAUUUCCUAUCAGCUUGUUGGUGAGGUAACGGCUCACCAAGGCAACGACGGGUAGCGGGACUGAGAGGUUGACCCGCCGCAUCGGGACUGAGACACUGCCCGGACCUCCACGGAGGGCUGCAGUAACGAAUAUUGUGCAAUGGACGAAAGUCUGACACAGCAAUGCCGCGUGUAGGAUGAAGCUCCUCGGAGUGUAAACUACUGUCAGGGGUUAGAAAGUCUUCGGAUUGAUCAGCCCCAGAGGAAGCCACGGCUAACUUCGUGCCAGCAGCCGCGGUAAUACGAAGGUGGCGAGCGUUGUUCGGAAUCACUGGGCUUAAA